AAUGGAUUGCCUUAUGAGAUAGUGAAUCCUGUCUUCUAUUCUGAGAUGAACCUGUCAGGCCCAUCCCCUUGUGGUUUGGGUCAAAGAUCGCAAUGAUAUGAGAUGUAGGUCUUUUAACAGUUAACUAAAGGAUUGAAUAUGGUCAAUGAGGAAAUUUGUUUUGCUUAAUUAUACAAAAAAGGAUUUCCUUUAAUUUUUUUCAUUCUCAACUGAGGACAAAUCUGGGUUGGGGUAGGAAGGAGAGAAGGUAGAUAUUUGCUCAUUAAAAAAUAAUAAAAUGUAAUUAAAAAAAUAAAGAACAAAACAAUUCAGCAACAACAGAAUGGUUAAUAAAAAGAGAUUUAUUUGACCACAGCAAGGGAAGGAUCUUCUACUGGCCAGGGAAGAAGUGUGUGGAAAGUAAAUAAGACCAACAGUUUGUGGGGGAAGGGCCCGACUGGGAGUGGCAGUUGGGUCUUGUGACUAGCACUUCCUUCCUGCCCGGAGGGGCAGUGGAGUCUGGUGACUAGUCCUUCCUUCCUGCGAGGUGGGUCUUGUGUCCUGGGGUUGGAGGAGAGUGGAGCUUGUUCAGCCCAGUCUGGAGUGGCAUGCUCUUCUUGGUUCAGCCCAAAGACACAGGCUUCUAAAGAUUGCUGAAGGAAAAGACUGGCAGGACAGGAGAAGAGCUAUCAAUCUCCAUCACAUCCCUGACCCCAACUUGCUACACUAGAGACUACAGGAAGUUUCCCCUUGGAUGAGAUCUGGAACCCUUUUUCUUGAUUGAGCUGAGUAUCUUACUGCCUUUAGCAGAGCCUUUUCAUUCUCUUGUCUUAUGUAUCUCUUCCUACAUAUACUCUCUCUAAUUUAUGUUUUGCUGCGAUUUGGAUAAAAUGCAUUUCUUAACUAUUCAUUAUAUAUACAUAUAUAUAUAUAUUCAUUGUGGACCUGGUAUUUGAUAGGAAGGAAUUCAAUCCUUGGAUUUUGUCUCAGGCUGGCAUGGGUCCACCUUCCUCAAAAAGUGACAAAGUGAUCAGAAGUUAGUUUGAAGGCAGUUGUAUUCAGCAAAAUAAUAACGUUUAAGGGAGCAGAUAUAAUUGUGGCUUAAUAUCCCAUCUUACUCUG
rnacentral:lncRNA from 1 species